rnacentral:rRNA from 1 species
AUUGAACGCUGGCGGCAGGCCUAACACAUGCAAGUCGAACGAGUGGCGGACGGGUGAGUAAUGUCUGGGAAACUGACUGAUGGAGGGGGAUAACUACUGGAAACGGUAGCUAAUACUGCAUACCAUCAGAUGUGCCCAGCUGGGAUUAGCUUGUGGGUGGGGUAACGGCGCACCAAGGCGACGAUCCCUAGCUGGUCUGAGAGGAUGACCAGCCACACUGGAACUGAGACACGGUCCAGACUCCUACGGGAGGCAGCAGUGGGGAAUAGUGCACAAUGGGCGCAAGCCUGAUGCAGCCAUGCCGCGUGUAUGAAGAAGGCCUUCGGGUUGUAAAGUACUUUCAGCGGGGAGGCGUUACCCGCAGAAAAAGCACCGGCUAACUCCGUGCCAGCAGCCGCGGUAAUAC